rnacentral:rRNA from 1 species
AAGUAAAAGUCGUAACAAGGUUUCCGUAGGUGAACCUGCGGAAGGAUCAUUACCUAGAGUUGCGGGCUUUGCCUGCCAUCUCUUACCCAUGUCUUUUGAGUACCUUACGUUUCCUCGGCGGGUCCGCCCGCCGAUUGGACAAUUUAAACCAUUUGCAGUUGCAAUCAGCGUCUGAAAAAAACUUAAUAGUUACAACUUUCAACAACGGAUCUCUUGGUUCUGGCAUCGAUGAAGAACGCAGCGAAAUGCGAUAAGUAGUGUGAAUUGCAGAAUUCAGUGAAUCAUCGAAUCUUUGAACGCACAUUGCGCCCCUUGGUAUUCCAUGGGGCAUGCCUGUUCGAGCGUCAUUUGUACCUUCAAGCUCUGCUUGGUGUUGGGUGUUUGUCUCGCCUCCGCGCGCAGACUCGCCUCAAAACAAUUGGCAGCCGGCGUAUUGAUUUCGGAGCGCAGUACAUCUCGCGCUUUGCACUCACAACGACGACGUCCAAAAGUACAUUUUUUACACUCUUGACCUCGGAUCAGGUAGGGAUACCCGCUGAACUUAAGCA